rnacentral:lncRNA from 1 species
GUAAGAGAAUUGCCACAUGCAAAUGAAUUAAGUAGCAACUAGGCGUUGAACAAUGAUCUCAGUAAAAGUUUUGGAAGCCUUUGUACAUCAGACGAAAGAUGAGCUCAUGAAGGGAAGAAUCUGGGUUACACGGGGUCUGCUUACUUGGGAAUUCCUUGGGUACUGCAGACCUGUGCUAUCUCCCACUGACUUUAGCUGUGGUCAUGGAAAAUAACCAAAUGUUUGUGGGUCCAUAUUGCCUCAGUGUCCUGCUUAAAGCAUGGGGAGAAAAAAACAGAUCAAGCAGCCUGGAGGAAGGGAGAAGGUCAACAAAUUAAAUCACCCCUAGGACUUCGAAAGCUGGGUCAACAAAGCCCUGAAACUCCAAGUUUCUGAACUUGUAUGUUUGCCAUCCACAAUAUAAAGAGAUGUUUUGGGUUUUUUUGAGGAAGAUUAGCCCUGAGCUAACACCUGCUGCCAAUCCUCCUCCUUUUGCUGAGGAAGACUGGCCCUGAGCUAACAUCUGUGCCCACCUUCCUCUACUUUAUAUGUGGGACACCUACCACAGCAUGGCUUGACAAGCGGUGCCAUGUCCGCACCCAGGAUCUGAACCAGCUAACCCUGGGCCACCGAAGUGGAACGUGCGCAUUUAACCGCUGAGUCACUGGGCCAGCCCCUAAAGAGAUUUUUCUCUUUUAAUUUCCAACAUCUGUGGCUUUCUAUUAGUUCAAGCUUCUGCAGGGAGCAUGCGUUCAUUAAAUGGUAAAUAUGAACCUAAAUACAGAAACACAAAUGCUUAAACCAUUAGGAGGCACCUUCUUAACAGUGAUGAAUGAGGCAGAAAAAAGGGAGGAGGUUCCACUUUGGGGCUGCAUGAUACACUUUUGCUUUGAACAAUCUCAGGCAUCUCCAGCAAUGACUUGGGAGGAAAAGUCUGACUUCAUCAUCACACGUUCAUUGAGUUAAAGUUUCCAGCCACUAUGCUACCUGCUUAGGCUCAAGAAGAUAAAAGAGAAAUGUUUCUGGGAGAUGGGGAAGGCGGGUGGGGGAGAUCAACAUGGAGACAACUGAUUAUAACACAAUGUCAUGACAAGUGGGCCCUGAGGCCAGCUCUGGGUCAUAUGCUGUCUUCUGCUGAUAUUUCUACUGCUUUCACCUGGAUAUGCAGCAGAUAGAGAGUUGCAAGGGCAGUUGCCAUGCCUAAGGCUAAUUUUACUGCUAGAAAAAGAUCCAUCAGAAGAGAUCUCUGAGAAGAUGCAUAAAGAAAUUUUCCAGUUGGCCAUUAUCUGCCUGUGGGUCCAGAGUUUGACCAUCCUUUCCAAAGUGAGGUUUUUAUCUGGAGUCUUUCUCCAAAGUUGCAGAAGGUCAUUCAGCCUGUUCAUGCAGGAAGCUGGAAAUGUUGGAGAUUUGACACCUUCUAGGAGCAGCCUUCAACCAGUGACUGAGGGUUGUUAAAUAUACCAGCUUCAUCAUCCCUCAGGAGGGUCAUUUAAAUGUAUAAACCAUUUUUAGCUCAUAGCCAUACAAAAAUGGACUGUGGCUGGAUUUGAUUCUGGGACCAAACUGCCAACCCCUGGUCUACAGCACUCUCUUCCCAGUUGUCUGAUUCCAGUUCUACGGAGCUGCUCAACAGCUCCCCAAGCUGCGGAUAACUGACAGAAACACAAACUAGUUCUUGUCUGUAGACAUCUAUGGACACGCCAAUGAAUUUUGUCAGGAGGAAAUAAUAAGCCAGCCACCAAAAUAAGAGCCAUCUUUGCAACCUUUUGCAAUUCGUUUCAAUAUUCCUUUACUCCAUAUAAAUUUGUACUUCUAUGACUUCUCCCUUGACU